AUGUCUGCACGGAUGCCCCAGGCUUAUGUGUGUUAUGUUGGAAGUGGGCUUGCAGCAGAUCACGGGGGCGCAACACAGGACAUGACAGCAGGUGAUGUUGCACAAGGGGGUGGGGGGAAGGGGGGAGCCGGCAAUUUUGCUGUGCAUGGAGUGGAAGAGGUAAACAAUGCUGGUCACGGUGUUGAAGUUGCCCCAGACAUCAUUUAUACCAGGGGUCUUGUUCUCAGCGAUGGCGAAGCACAAAUGUUGGGCCUGGUAAUAACCAUUGAGGAUGGAUACAUUGGACCACAUUAUGUGCACCGCCUCACGCCCACGAACAUCACAAGCAAGUUUAUGAAAAUCCCCAAGAAAAUAGUUCAACCACUGAACUUUUCUAGAGAAGGGGUUAUUGGGCUUUGCAUGGUUGUAGGAGAUCUCAUGCAGCUUGGAUAUCACAUGACGGAUGGUCUUCGACAAAGAUUGGGGUGUUUUUGUAGCCCGGAACCACCUCCGGGUGGACGAUGUUGUCAUUUUCAACUCAAGCAGAGCAAUGCAUAG
rnacentral:rRNA from 1 species